rnacentral:lncRNA from 1 species
GAUGACAGAAACUUCAUCUGCAUUGGCUUCGGCAAAGCAGAAAUUUAUUAGCUUACAAGCUGAUUCCCACACCAUCAAUAUACUUACAAUAAGUACAAAGUACAAGUAUACAUUGUGAAUACUUAUGUAUACUCACAAAUAUUUUGGCAUCUCUUUGGCCAUACCCUUCACAGGCCCCAUCUUGUCCAUGCACCUGUCUGCUUCCUUGGCUUCAGAGCAUUGCCUCCAAGUCCUCUACAGCACAACUUUCCCUUCAGCAUCCAACCUUAUGAUGUACUGGGAUAUUGUGUUGCCCCUCUCCCCUCUCUACCUGUGCUGGGCUUUAAGGCUGACACACCUAUAAACCCCAGGAGUGGAGGGAAGGUAAGAAGGAAAAGGGUGAUGUUAAAAAAAAAAAAGAUUGAAAAGGAGAUAAGAUGACAAGAACAUCUCAAUGACAAUGCUGCUAAGCAUAAGUAAAAUGUAUAGAUAUUUUUAUACUUACAGGUGAUAAAGCAGAAGUAGUUAAAUCCUAGUGUGAAGGGCUCAUUUAGAUAUGUCUUUGUAUUAAGAGAAUGAUGAACCUCUAAGAUUGGAACUAAUCCAAAGCCACCUCUAAGAGUGGAGCUAAUCCACUGAAGCCUAGACCAGAAGGAUUUCACGGUAAAACAUGAUAUUGUUGUAAUUAUAGUUUCUCAACUUGGGCACUAUUAACAUUUCGGACCAGUAACACUUUGUUGAGGGAAGCUGUCCUGUGCAUUGUAGAAUGCUUAGCAGAAUUCCUGGCCUCUACACAUUUGAUUCCGGUAACAAUAUCCUAGGGGUAAAAUUGCUCCUGGUUUAAAACCACUCUAUCUGAUGUGUUUUCAUACCAAUAUACCCUGUGCAUUUGCAUGAGUCCUAGAAAGAGAAGAGUAUGCAAGUUAAAACUAAUAGCUCUGUUUUCAUUUUUUUUAAAGGGAGAGUGGAUUGUCAUUGAGACAUAUGUUCUGCUUACGUGGAGAGUAACUUGAGCAACGUUACCCACCUCUAUGUGGAAACACAGGUUUAUUUAGUAUGUUGAAAUUCCAGACAUAACUAUCUGUUCAGUAGCAGUGGUUCCUAUAAGACAACAACUUCACUGUUCAUUUUGUGCUAGUAGAAUGGAACUUCACGGACCUUGGAGAAGCAUACUCCAAACACUACAAAUGAUGGUUAUACUUUGGAGAGAUGCUAAGACAGCAGAUGCUAAAAUCCAGAUACCUUUUGUGAAUAUGAGGCAUAUCUACUGGGAACACAUCAUAAUAAUCUGUUGAGGUAAACAUUAAAGAUGGUGGCAAUAAGCAGUUGGAGAAAAAGAAAAAUAUCAACAUGCAAGGCACCAUUGUUUUCUUGCUUCUUAAUUGUAACUUUUUAUUUUUUGUGUAUAUGGCUAUCACAGAGAUUUAAAAAUUAAUCAUUGAAAAUCAUUAAUAGAAUCGACCUGUGAGCAUCAACACAGAAAUGGAUAAAGAAAAUGUGUUAUAUACACAGUGGGAUACCAUUAAGCCUAAAAAUGAAGGAAAUCUUGUUAUUCACAGCAACAUGGGUGAGCCUGGGGGGGCAUUAUGUUCAGUGAAAUAAGUCAGGCACAGAAAGAUAAAUAUCACCUGUUCUCACUUAUAUGUGAGAGCUUAAAGAAGCUCAGCUUAUAAAAGUAGAGGGUAGAAUUGUUUAGUAUUAGAGGCUUGGAAUGGUAGGGAGGAGAAGAUAGCUAGAAGUUGGUUAACAGACACAAAAUUGUCUAGAUGGAGAGAAAGUUCCAGUGUGCCAUAGCACUGUAGGGUGACUAUAGUUAACCAUAAUCUACCAUAUUUUCCAAUAGCAGGAAGAGAGAACUUUGAAUGUUUGAAGUGCUGGACAUUCUUACUACUCUGAGUUGAUUAUUACACAUUGCACACAUGCAUCAAAACAUCACUCUGUAUCCUACAAAUAUGUACAAUAUUACGUGUUAACUCAAAAUAAGAAAAAAUGAAAUCUUGAUUUAUUAUUAUCUAAUUUCAGUAUUUUACCACUUUCCCCCAAAUGCAAAAGCAAUUUAGUACUAUUUUUCAGCAUCCCAUUGUCUUGUAUUUUACUAUACAUUUUAUGAAUCUGAUACUACAUGUAUUUUUUCCCUAGUAUUGAUUUACAUAUACCUACACACAUCCGUACUUUCACCUGGGAUUCCUUUGUUUUAGUCCUUUAGUAUUCACUUUAGAGAAGAUCUGCAAGUUGUGAAUUCCCUUAGCAUAUGAUUGUCUCUAUUAUAUGCUAAAAGAAUAUGAUAGAAUAAAUAAAAGAAUAUGUUUUUCAUUUUGAAGGAUAUUUUCACAGAGUAUAGAUUUUGAGGGGUUUAUAUUUACUUUUAAUAUUUUAAAGAUAUCAUUCACUUAUCUUCCAGCUUCCAUCGUUUUUGACAAAAAUUUAAACAUCAGUCUUGAUUUUCCUUUGAAGAUACUAUGAUUUUCUAACUGCUUUAAAAUGUUUCCCUUUGUCUUUGAUAUUCAGCAAUUUGACUAGGACAUAUCUAGAUGUGGUCAUCUUUAUAUGUGUCCAAAUGAGUUUCGCUGCGCUUUAUAAACAUGAAUUGAUAAUUUUAUCUGAUUUGAAAAAUUCUAGACAAAUACUUUAUCAAAUAUUGUUCCUAUUCCAUGCUCGUCUCUCUUUCUGAGCAAUAACUAUAAUUCAAACUAUUUUAUCAUGUUCCAAAUAUCUCUUACUUUAUGUUACUGUUUUCUUCCCUGCUUCGGUAUGUAAAAUUUUUAUUGACUUAUCUUUGGGGUCACUAAUUCUUUAUUCUGUU